UUACAGCCAUAUCACGUUGAAACAUCGGUUCUCGUACGAACACCGAAGUUAAGCAACGCUGAGGCUUGUCAGCACAUAAAUGGGUGAGCACUUGGAAGUACCAAGUGCUGAA